rnacentral:rRNA from 1 species
CUUUCCAGUCCUUAACUGACGCUAAAGCUCGAAAGUGCGGGUAUCGAACAGGAUUAGAUACCCUGGUAGUCCGCACGGUAAACGAUGGAUGCCCGCUGUUGGCGACACACUGUCAGCGGCCAAGCGAAAGCGUUAAGCAUCCCACCUGGGGAGUACGCCGGCAACGGUGAAACUCAAAGGAAUUGACGGGGGCCCGCACAAGCGGAGGAACAUGUGGUUUAAUUCGAUGAUACGCGAGGAACCUUACCCGGGCUUGAACUGCCAGUGAACGAUUCAGAGAUGAUGAGGCCCUUCGGGGCGCUGGUGGAGGUGCUGCAUGGUUGUCGUCAGCUCGUGCCGUGAGGUGUCGGCUUAAGUGCCAUAACGAGCGCAACCCUUUUCUCCAGUUGCCAUCAGGUUGAGCUGGGCACUCUGGAGACACUGCCACCGUAAGGUGUGAGGAAGGUGGGGAUGACGUCAAAUCAGCACGGCCCUUACGUCCGGGGCUACACACGUGUUACAAUGGGUGGUACAGAGCGUUGGUUGUAUGCAAAUACGAUCUAAUCCUUAAAGCCAUCCUCAGUUCGGAUUGGGGUCUGCAACCCGACCCCAUGAAGCUGGA